rnacentral:rRNA from 1 species
UACGGGGGGGGCAAGCGUUGUUCGGAUUUACUGGGCGUAAAGGGCGCGUAGGCGGCGUAACAAGUCACUUGUGAAAUCUCCGGGCUUAACCCGGAGCGGCCAAGUGAUACUGUUGGGCUAGAGUGCGGAAGGGGCUACUGGAAUUCUCGGUGUAGCGGUGAAAUGCGUAGAUAUCGAGAGGAACACCGGCGGCGAAGGCGGGUAGCUGGGCCGACACUGACGCUGAGGCGCGAAAGCCAGGGGAGCGAACGGG